AGGAUUGCAGCUUAGUGGUAGAGCAUCUUCUUUGCAUGCAGAAGGUAUUGGGUUCAAUCCCUAGCAUUUCUA